rnacentral:rRNA from 1 species
UACGUAGGUCCCAAGCGUUAUCCGGAAUUACUGGGCGUAAAGAGUCUGUAGCUGGUCUCGUAAGUCUAUUUUCAAAUACCUUGGCUUAACCAAGGAAAGGGGAUGGAUACUGCGAGUCUGGAAGUCAUCAGGGGUAAGUAGAAUUUCCGGUGGAGAGGUGAAAUGCGUAGAGAUCGGAAAGAACACCAACGGCGAAAGCACUCUGCUGGGCCGACACUGACACUGAGAGACGAAAGCUAGGGGAGCGAAUGGG